UGGUCGCACCAUCGGACCUCUUGCAAUCCUGUUAAUGCUCAGUAUGUCCAUUGCAACUGAGAUGCUGGGGCCAGAAGCACUGCAUAAGAAGACGCAGUCACUAGCUGCGACACCUCCCAAAACAGUUGUGACUCUUCUGCAUUUUAGACAUCACUCUCCCUGUUAUCUUCUAAAAUAGUCAGUGGCUAUUAAUCCAACUGCUACUAAACAGCACUGCACAGGACCUUUGCAGUGCAUGCACAGUGCAGCAAGACACGUGAUCCAGACUCCACACAAGACUCCAAGUGCCAGUCAUACGGCUCUCCCUGUGCUUUUAUUGGGACCCAAUUUACCCUUUUAAACUGCCCUGUUACCCGUGUAUGAAAUUAUGUCACCCCUCAUGACAGUUUUAGCCGCCUGCCAGAACAAGGAGGGGUUGGAGAUCGCCUGAGACUGGUUGUUGGAAAGAAAUUCAGCAAAAAUUAUUGCAACUGUUGAACUAUGAUAGAAAAACGGUUUUGACUUCGCCUUCCUUUGCCACACGGAAAUUCUGCCUCAAAUGGAGCCCUUUCCUGGAUACUUUACCCCCCUCUACCAAACAACAUAUUUUGAAAACUCUAGAUUGCUCCUUGUCCUCCUAUGGAUCAUAUACAAAUGUUUAAAUAGCCUCACUGUUUUCUUUUAGAGUAUGUAUCUGCCUUUCUCCUCUAUCUGGCACUCUACAUGGUUAUAAUGAGUGUUAUGGGCUGGCCCUCACACUCAUCUUCAUCCCAUCACUUCCCUCCCCCCUCUUCCCUCGUGUGUUCCACCCCCACAAAUACUUUUAUAUUUUAUUUCUUAUUUCUUGUUUUUUCUGUCUCUUUGAUCUUCUCUCUUUUUUAGUAUCAGUUAAUACUGUAUGGAAAUGCUGAUGCAUUAUGCGGUUAUAUACGGUUUACCACCCCUUUUUAGUCAUGGGGUGUGAUUGGUUAGAUUUCGGUAGCAACCGGUUACAAUUGAUGCGGUUUCAUACCUCUAGUUUUUCCAGUUGCAUUAUGGCUCGGUGUAUGUAAAAAGCUUCUUUAUAUACGACGAUGUUUUCACAUCAGGCCGAUUUACACUAGGAUACCUCUGUUUGUAUAUUAUGUUCUGUAUU